UUUCAUGGAGGCACAAAGUAAACAUAGACACCGGUACAUGCCAACUACCAGACGUGAGAAUGCAUUGGAAAAGAAUGCAAAAUCUUGCAAAGAGAUUUGAACAUUUAUUAAUAUGGACUGGAGACAAGAAUCAGAUAAAGACAAAGAUUCGCAGGUCUUUAUUCUCAAUUUGGAUUUCUGGCUGAAAAAUAUCGUCCAGGUCUGGCUCCAGAAGGGGACCACAUCUGGGACCUGUUUCUCAUGGGUGCCCCUGCCAGGGACAUAAAUCCCCACAAAUCUUGGGGAAGAAAAUAGACUCUGAGGUAUUGCAAGGCUAGUCUACUGCUGGAAGAUACUAGGCCAUCCUAAGACUCCAUGCUUCAUAUUGAUCUGUAUUUCAAAACAAGUCUCCUGAAGUAUGCAUCAUUUACUGUAAUCUCCCCUGAUGUAUGCAAAAGUUUGGGCACCCCUGAUCAUUUUCAAGAUUUUCCUUUAUAAAUCAUUGGUUGUUCGGAUGAACAAUUUCAGUUAAACAUAUCAUAUAGCAGACAAACACAGUAAUAUUUGAGAAAUGAAAUGAGAUUUACAGAAAAGUGUGCAAUCAUUACUUUAAAAAGGUAGGCAGGCGCAUAAAUUUGGGCACCCCACAGAAAAAUCCUGCUUUUGUAGAAAUAACAGCCUUUAAACGCUUCCAAUAU